rnacentral:rRNA from 1 species
CCCUUAGAUGUUCUGGGCCGCACGCGCGCUACACUGAUGCAUUCAACGAGUUCCUACCUUGGCCGAGAGGCCUGGGCAAUCUUUUGAACUUGCAUCGUGAUAGGGAUAGAUUAUUGCAAUUAUUAAUCUUGAACGAGGAAUUCCUAGUAAACGCAGAUCAUCAAUCUGCAUUGAUUACGUCCCUGCCCUUUGUACACACCGCCCGUCGCUCCUACCGAUUGAGUGGUCCGGUGAGGCUUUGGGAUCUGAGCGGAAAGAGCGUUUCGCUGUUUCUGCUCGGAAAACUCAGUCGAACCUUAUCAUUUAGAGGAAGGAGAAGUCGUAACA